rnacentral:rRNA from 1 species
AUUGAACGCUGGCGGCAUGCCUUACACAUGCAAGUCGAACGGUAACGGGCCUUCGGGUGCCGACGAGUGGCGAACGGGUGAGUAAUGCAUCGGAACGUACCCAUCAGUGGGGGAUAACUCUCCGAAAGGAGGGCUAAUACCGCAUAUUCUGUGCGCAGGAAAGCGGGGGACCGCAAGGCCUCGCGCUGAUGGAGCGGCCGAUGUCAGAUUAGCUAGUUGGUGGGGUAAAGGCCUACCAAGGCGACGAUCUGUAGCGGGUCUGAGAGGAUGAUCCGCCACACUGGGACUGAGACACGGCCCAGACUCCUACGGGAGGCAGCAGUGGGGAAUUUUGGACAAUGGGGGCAACCCUGAUCCAGCCAUGCCGCGUGAGUGAAGAAGGCCUUCGGGUUGUAAAGCUCUUUCGGCCGGGAAGAAAUCGCAUCUCCUAAUACGGGGUGUGGAUGACGGUACCGGAAUAAGAAGCACCGGCUAACUACGUGCCAGCCGCCGCAGUAA